GGGAUUAGCUCAGCUGGCUAGAGCGCCUGCCUUGCACGCAGGAGGUCAUCGGUUCGACUCCGAUAUUCUCCACAACU
rnacentral:tRNA from 1 species